GACGAACCGUCCAAACGUUAUUCGGAAUCACUGGGCUUAAAGGGUGCGUAGGCGGUCCGGUAAGUUGGGUGUGAAAGCCCUCGGCUCAACCGAGGAAUUGCGCCCAAAACUGUCGGACUCGAGGAAGAUAGAGGUGAGCGGAACUUAGGGUGGAGCGGUGAAAUGCGUUGAUAUCCUAAGGAACACCAGUAGCGAAAGCGGCUCACUAGGUCUUUUCUGACGCUGAGGCACGAAAGCUAGGGGAGCGAAC
rnacentral:rRNA from 1 species